rnacentral:rRNA from 1 species
CCUACGGGGGGCUGCAGUGGGGAAUCUUGCGCAAUGGGAGAAAUCCUGACGCAGCAACGCCGCGUGGGUGAUGAAGGUCUUCGGAUCGUAAAGCCCUGUCGGAGGGGAAGAUGCUUGGGCGUGCUAAUAGUACGUUCAGGUGACGGUACCCUCAAAGGAAGCACCGGCUAACUCUGUGCCAGCAGCCGCGGUAAUACAGAGGGUGCAAGCGUUGUUCGGAAUUAUUGGGCGUAAAGGGAGUGUAGGCGGUUAGUUAAGUCUUCUGUGAAAGCUGC